rnacentral:rRNA from 1 species
AACGUACGCUGGCGGCACGCCUAACACAUGCAAGUCGAACGAAGUAGCAAUACUUAGUGGCAGACGGGUGAGUAACAUGUGGGUAUCUACCCUUUGGCCUGGAAUAACACGAGGAAACUUGUGCUAAUACCGGAUAAGUCUUUACGGAGAAAGCUUUAUGCACCAUUGGAUGAGCCCGCACUUGAUUAGUUUGUUGGUAGGGUAAUGGCCUACCAAGACUAUGAUCAAUAGCUGAUUUGAGAGGAUGAUCAGCCACAUUGGGACUGAGACACGGCCCAAACUCCUACGGGAGGCAGCAGUGGGGAAUCUUGCACAAUGGAGGAAACUCUGAUGCAGCGAUGCCGCGUGAGUGAAGAAGGCCUUUGGGUUGUAAAGCUCUUUCGUCGGGGAAGAAAAUGACUGUACCCGAAUAAGAAGGUCCGGCUAACUUCGUGCCAGCAGCCGCGGUAAUACGAAGGGACCUAGCGUAGUUCGGAAUUACUGGGCUUAAAGAGUUCGUAGGUGGUUGAAAAAGUUGGUGGUGAAAUCCCAGAGCUUAACUCUGGAACUGCCAUCAAAACUUUUCAGCUAGAGUAUGAUAGAGGAAAGCAGAAUUUCUAGUGUAGAGGUGAAAUUCGUAGAUAUUAGAAAGAAUACCAAUUGCGAAGGCAGCUUUCUGGAUCAUUACUGACACUGAGGAACGAAAGCAUGGGUAGCGAAGAGGAUUAGAUACCCUCGUAGUCCAUGCCGUAAACGAUGUGUGUUAGACGUUGGAAAUUUAUUUUCAGUGUCGCAGGGAAACCGAUAAACACACCGCCUGGGGAGUACGACCGCAAGGUUAAAACUCAAAUGAAUUGACGGGGACCCGCACAAGUAGUGGAGCAUGUGGUUUAAUUCGAAGAUACGCGCAGAACCUUACCAACACUUGACAUGUUCGUCGCGACUCUAAGAGAUUAGAGUUUUCGGUUCGGCCGGACGAAACACAGGU